UUCAGCUUCCCACUGGGACUCGGCGUGGGCAGAGCGCCGAGGAGAGGCCUGCUCCAGGUUUGGGGCGUGACUGUUGGCACUUUUGUUUUUGCGAUCCUGCGUUGGUCUCCCUCCAAUAAAAGCGAUGGCUGGGGAACAGGCACUCAAGGAUGUCGUGCUCCGGUCACCGCCGUCUCAGUCUUCCCCGAGGAGACCUCAAACUCUCAGAAAGAGCUGCCGCUGGGAGACCCUGAGGCACCGAAGGCGCGGCUACCUGUUUUCCUUCAACCCCGUGUGCGCACGUUCGGCGACCCACACCCCAGUUUCCAGAUACAGCGCCCCCAGCCUGGCUCCGUGCAAGGUGCCACCCGCUUUCCGGGUGUCUGGCGGGGGGCGGGGUUUGGCUGGGCAGGACCAGGAUGUGAGAUCCUGGAGGAAAGAAAAGGUGUAGUGUUUGGGGCGGUCAGCAGGUAAUACCCGGUUUCUGAACGUAAGACAUAGGCCAGAGGCGAAGUCUCCCUGCGGCCAGUGUGGGGGCUGCAGCAGGUAAGGAAGGGGGUUAUGGAAGAGGGUGCAGAGAAGCCCAGAAGAUGUGGGGGUAGGGACAGGAGCAUCUCCCUUCUGUAACUUUCCUGCACACCUUCCUACAGAAGCAUGGAGCUAGGAUCCCCUGACCUGCUAGACGUGUUGCUGGAGCCCCCAGAAGAUAUCUUCUCAACAGGAUCCUUACUGGAACUGGGAUUCAACUGUUCCCCUCCAGAGGUUCCAGUGACUAGGCUACAAGAACAGGCGCUACAUGGCUGGGAUUCUAGUGGGGGCCAUGGCUGUGUAAGUGUGAUGAAUAGGAAUGGAAGGAAGUGGGCUUGAGACACAACUCUGGGCUAAGAAGACCCAAGAGGCUUCAGCACCCACUUGAAAAGAGACCUGAAAACAGUGAACCCAAAAUAGAUAUUAGUUGUAACUAUCCCCAUCCCCAAGAAAAGCCUGAAACUGAAGUAAGAAGGAUCUAAAUCUGAUGUAGGAUAUACAAGUAUGCCAGUUAGGACUUCCUGGCAUACCUGUAUACCCUUCUCCGACUACAGGGACUUCAAGAGAGUGAAUCUGAAGAUUUCCUGAAGCUUUUCAUUGAUCCCAAUGAGGUGUAUUGUUCAGAAGCAUCUCCUGGCAGUGACAGUGGCAACUCUGAGGAUCCUGGCCUCUCAGACAGUCCCCCUGCCCUGCAGGCACCCAGCUCUCCUGCCCUCUAUGAGGUUGUCUAUGAGGCAGAGGCCCUGCAGAGGAUGCAGGGGGAAGCCAGGCCAACCUUAGGACUCAUCUCCAUUCAGCUAGGUCAGUUUCUUUGUGGGAAGAGGUCCAGCCCUAGCCAUGAGGUUAAGGGGAUUUCCCCAGCCAAUGCCACUACCCAGCCCCUGGUGCCUCAGGGUGAACCUCUCUUUUGUCCCAGCUUCUUGUGUCUCCUUCAGAUCAGUGGAGCCCACAAUUCAUGGUGCCAGAUGCCUGCAUGGUCAGUGAACUGACCUUUGAUGCUCAUGCACACAUCCUGCCCAGAAGCACUGCAGCCCCAGUGCCUCCUUCCACACUUGUAAGUCUUGGGGUCCGUCAGACCAGUGCUCUGUGAUACAUACAUGUAUCCUCACAGACAGUGGCACAGGGGAUGAGGGAGGGGGAAGCUGAUGAGGAACUGUGUCUUUGCCGCACUUUUCAUGGCACUGAGCCUGAAGACCAAGGCAAUGAAAGCAACUUUAGGAGCAGGAAAGGACAAGGGGGUGAGAGAGAGAGCCGGUGUGGAUAAGGUGGUGAUGACUCAGUUAAGUUGGGAUGAGGGACAAGGCUCUGGAGAAAGCCCACACCUUGUGUGCAUUGCAUGCUUAGCCAGAGCCAUUGUUUCAGCCUUGGGUCAGGACAGAAUUGGGACAGUAGCCUGGGAAUCCAACUGGUUGGUGGAUACAGAGUGAUGGAGAAGAAACUGCAAUAGUGUUUCCACUGUAGCAAAUACCCAGGGGCCAGCUCUUCAGGAACCCUAUCAGAAGCCUUCUGAGGGGGCUGGAGAUUGUGCAGUGAGGUUGGAAAGGUGGCUACAUUCAGGUCACUGUGUCUUCCUUUAUCCUGGGAAUACUUCCCAAGCCCAAAGCAAGGAACAGGUUCUAGCUUCCAUCUAAACUUGUGGGUGAAGCUUGAACCAGAAGCCAAGUCAAGCCAGGUACAGUGUCCCACAACUGUAAUCCCAGCUCCAUGGGAGGCCAAGGCAGGAGGAUUGAAAGUUUGAGGCCAGCCUGGGCAACUUAGUGAGCCCUUGUCCCAAAGUAAAAAGUACCCCUGGGUGCUGUCCCCAGUACUGCAAAAAGAAAAAAAGUGGUUGGCUUAGCUAAAAGCUAAAACAAAUUCUUAAGUCACAAAGUCAAGCAUAAAUCUUUCAAAAAAGAAUGCAGCUUACUCCGUUGAUGGGUCCAGCUUAACCGAAGUCACCAUCUGUCCACUGUCUACUCUGCAUGCUUUACUGUGGGAAGUCACUCAGUGUGACUGCCUACAGGAGUUCCUUGUCUAAGAGGGGGCAGAACCUGAAAGUGGAGUUCAGACCUUGUGGUUCUGUGGUUGACGGGCACUGGAUAACAUACUCUGCCAAAUGGAAGUUAAUGGCUGGAUCUGGAUUGUUAACCUGCUGUUACGAUUUUUUCUUUCUGCUGUAAGGAAAUUGAGCAAACCCCACUGUAGUGAGUACUCCAUGUCCUCUUUUUUUUUUAAGAGAGUGAGAGUGUGAGAGAAGAGAGAGAAUUUUUUAAUAUUUAUUUUUAGUUUUCGGCGGACACAACAUCUUCGUUGGUAUGUGGUGCUGAGGCUCGAACCCGGGCCGCACGCAUGCCAGGCGAGCGCGCUACCGCUUGAGCCACAUCCCCAGCCCUCCAUGUCCUCUUAAGAUGCUCCCAAGUUGUGGGAGACAGGGAUCGGAGCAGGCACUCCCUAGCUUGAUCAGAAUGUCCAGGUCCCAAGUCUCUGAACAGAAGAUAUGAUGAAACCACACCUUCUCCCCUAUCGGCCUCAGGAGAUCCCUUGGCUCUAUCUAGGGCCUGUCUCAAGGCUCUUUUUUUUUUUUUGUACCAGGGAUUAAACCCAGGGUCGUUAACCACUGAAGGAGCUCUUCUUAUUUUUUACUUACAGACAGGGCCUCCCUAAAUUGCUGAGGCUGGCUUUGAACUUGUGACCCUCCUGCCUCAGCCUCCUGAGCUGCUGGGAUUACAGGCAUGUGCCACUGUGCCUGGCCCUCAGCUCACCUCUAGGUUGGAGUUACUCCUUAGUGCAAAUAUUAAGCACUCUCCAGAAUGCAUGGUGGGGUGCUGCUGUGUGCUGAAAAUGUGAUGACCCUGUCCCCGUUCCCAUCUUAUCUUCAAUAUCCCCCAGCUGCCCUGUCAAACUCUGUUCCUGACAGAUGAGGAGAAGCGUCUGCUGGGGCAGGAAGGGGUUUCUCUGCCCUCUCACCUGCCCCUCACCAAGGUAACACCCUUCCCUUUCCCAAAGGGCGUCUCAGUCCAGAGGAUCCAUUAUGGCCUCUGAGAAGCCAGGAUCCCAGGGAAAAGUUGGGCAGUUGAGGGAGGUUAAGGGCCCAGAAUUGACACACCCCCGGCUACCAGGCAGAGGAGAGAAUCCUCAAGAAGGUCAGGAGGAAAAUCC
rnacentral:lncRNA from 1 species